CGAGUAUUUGUCAUGGUGGUAAUAUUAUUACUAAUAGAAGUAGCCAUAGGAGCAUCAGAAUAUCUGAUCUGGGAUUCCCAGGAUGGUAUUCUGCCUCCUGCCCAACAGAGGCCAGCGUAGCCUAGCUUGGGGGCCCGAAAACAGCAGGACAUUCUCUUGUGUCCAACACAGGGGGACUGCAGCAUUUACAAGAAGUACCCAGUGGUGGCCAUCCCCUGCCCCAUCACGUACCUGCCUGUCUGUGGUUCUGAUUACAUCACCUAUGGGAAUGAAUGCCACCUAUGCAUUGAGAAUUUGUGAGUACCUCAUGGGAAGAAAAAAGAAGUUGCGGCCAGUGUCCUCCACAGCAAACUUCUCCUCUUUCUAUGAGCCUGUUUCACUCUCCAUAAGCUGUGCUUAUUCCCACCCAGAAGCAUCUGGGAGAGAGAGAAAACUGGCUGUCUUGUGGUCAGGCUAGGCUUGGCCCCCUGCUCUGCCAGCUUGAACUCGUUCCAUCCAUCCCCCAACUGCCAAUUCCUGUCUCAGUUGACGGAGUCCAAUAAGACCAGGAGCCUAGAGGUUCUACAGAGGCACCAGAGUCACCAGAGGAGCUAAGGGGAUCAUUUGGGAGUGAUCUCCAACCCCCAGUUCAGCUUUUGGCUGUUUUCGGUAAUGGGGUUCCACACAGUAUUUUGUUAGAGAGAAGGAUCUUAAACCCCACACUAAGAAAUCAUUGAAACCCACUAUCCCACAUGACUUCUAAGAGACUUAUGGCCAUACUGCUUGAUUCUUAGACAAACUGGCUGGAAAGCCUUUCCGCUCCUCAAAUUCCUAGCAGCUCUAUCUGUAGCCUUAAGGGGGAAAAGGGGAAUAAGGCUAUGGUAAUUUUUUUUCUUUUAUCUAAAAGAGGGGAAUGCAGCUCUCGGUGCUUCCACCUGGGUCCCACGGGCAUGUUUUGUUUAGGUAUUUUGUUUAGCCUGCAUGGUAUUUUUGAAGGCAAUAUAACUAGGUAGUUGCCACUUCUUUAAUGCAAAACAGGCACCUAAGCAUUUAUUCCCUUACACAAAGUCCGCUCUGCUCAUUGUUAAGUCUUUUUAGACCACUGGAUUUUGGCCAUCCAUCUUCAAUCUUAAUAUUUUUCAUCUCCGUGAUUAUCUCACAAGUUGGAAUAGCAGGUGAGGCCUCUAGCCCACAAAGAUAUGUCUGCAUCUUUAUUUCUACUCAGGAAGAGGGAAUCUUCAGAAAAGAGAAGAUGCACACAUAUUGGGCCUUUGGCCUAGCAACUAGCUUGCGUUCAAGGACACUGAAGGGGACAUGUGGUGGCAGUCCUUACCACUGCAGGAUCCAGCUUCAUCACAGGCCUUGCUGAGCAAGAAAAGCUGAGGGGCAGGCCACCUCAACUCCCCUUGUCAGAAGCCCUCCUUCUUUGUAAGAUGCAGGGUGACCCCAGGCUCUGGGGUCAGUGGGGGCCGUGGGUAGGCUGGAUGUAUCACUGGACUAGGGAAACUUGGCUUCUGUCAGAAACUGCCUGUGGCAGGGACAUUCCUUUUCAGGGAUUCAGUUUCCUCAUCUGUAACAUUAAGUUCUGCCUCAUAAUUUCUAAAGUUCCUUUUGGCUCUAACAUUAUAUAACAUGUCCUCUUGCUUAAUGAAUCUUGUGUGUUUUCUCAUAGGAAAAGUAACGGAAAAGUUCAGUUUCUUCAUGAAGGAGCAUGCUAACUUCCCCGCAGACAUGGAUACAGAGCGAUGACGUCUUCACCAUCACCUUCAUCUUCCCUGGGCUCUGACUGCCCUCUCCCUCAUCUCAGCCAGGGCUCUGGGUAAGGGCAGAGACGGAAUGCGACGCAUCUUUGUUGGGCAGAGAAAAUCGUUGCGGUCCUCCUCAUGCCUCACUGAUUUCUGGGCCUCUUUUUGUACCUCAGUAAAAGAAUCUCCUUACAUAGUU
rnacentral:lncRNA from 1 species